rnacentral:SRP_RNA from 1 species
CCAAGUGACACACACCUGUUGUCCCAGAUACUCAGGAUGCUGAGGCAGGAGUAACUUUUGAGCCCAGGAGUUCUCACAUAGGCUGUAUGUGCUAUGUUGAUCAAGUGUCUACAUUAAGAUUGGCAUCAACAUAUUAUCUUCCAGGAAGCAGAGGACCACUAGGCUGCCUAAGGAGUGAUGAACCAGCCCAACUGAAAAACUGAGCAGGAUAAAACUCCUCUGCUCAUCCGUAGUGGGAUAAGUCCUUGGAAUAGUCACUCCACUCCAAUCUGGGCAAUGUGGUGAGACUCUAUUUCU